rnacentral:rRNA from 1 species
GACGAACGCUGGCGGCGUGCUUAACACAUGCAAGUCGAACGGUGAAGCGCCUUCCUUUUUGGUGGGUGUGGAUGAGUGGCGAACGGGUGAGUAACACGUGAGUAACCUGCCCCCUUCUUCUGGAUAACCGCAUGAAAGUGUGGCUAAUACGGGAUAUUCUGGUUCUGUCGCAUGAUGGGUCUGGGAAAGAUAUUGUUUCGGUGGGGGAUGGGCUCGCGGCCUAUCAGCUUGUUGGUGGGGUGAUGGCCUACCAAGGCGGUGACGGGUAGCCGGCCUGAGAGGGUGGACGGUCACACUGGGACUGAGACACGGCCCAGACUCCUACGGGAGGCAGCAGUGGGGAAUAUGGCACAAUGGGCGAAAGCCUGAUGCAGCGACGCCGCGUGAGGGAUGGAGGCCUUCGGGUUGUGAACCUCUUUCGCCAGUGAAGCAGGCCUGCCUCGUUUGUGGGUGGGUUGACGGUAGCUGGAUAAGAAGCGCCGGCUAACUACGUG